rfam:Nomascus leucogenys chromosome 1a, whole genome shotgun sequence.
GCUGGGCGUGGUGGCGCACGCCUGUAAUUCCAGCUACUCAGGAGGCUGAGGCAGGAGAAUUGCUUGAACCUGGGAGGCUGAGGUUGCAGUGAGCUGAAAUCGCGCCACUGCACUCCAGCCUGGGUGACAGAGUGAGACUCUGUCUCAA